AUACGUAGGUGGCAAGCGUUGUCCGGAAUUACUGGGCGUAAAGGGCGCGCAGGCUGUGCUGCAAGUCAGCUGUUAAAUGUCUGGGCUUAACCCGGGCAUGCGGUUGAGACUGCGGUGCUGGAGUGCUGUAGAGGCAAGUGGAAUUCCCAGUGUAGCGGUGAAAUGCGUAGAUAUUGGGAAGAACACCGGUGGCGAAGGCGACUUGCUGGGCAGCAACUGACGCUGAGGCGCGAAAGCCAGGGGAGCAAACGGGAUUAGAUACCCCGGUAGUCCUGGCCGUAAACGAUGAAUGCUAGGUGUGGGUGUAGAGAUACAUUCGUGCCGGAGUUAACGUGAUAAGCAUUCCGCCUGGGGAGUACGGUCGCAAGAUUGAAACUCAAAUGAAUUGACGGGG
rnacentral:rRNA from 1 species